rnacentral:rRNA from 1 species
UCCAGACUCCUACGGGAGGCAGCAGUGGGGGAUAUUGCACAAUGGGGGAAACCCUGAUGCAGCGACGCCGCGUGUGGGAAGACGGUCCUCUGGAUUGUAAACCACUGUCCCCAGGGACGAAGAUGACGGUACCUGGGGAGGAAGCUCCGGCUAACUACGUGCCAGCAGCCGCGGUAAUACGUAGGGGGCAAGCGUUAUCCGGAUUUACUGGGUGUAAAGGGAGCGUAGACGGCAUGGCAAGUCAGAUGUGAAAGCCCGGGGCUCAACCCCGGGACUGCAUUUGAAACUGUCAGGCUGGAGUGCAGGAGAGGUAAGUGGAAUUCCUAGUGUAGCGGUGAAAUGCGUAGAUAUUAGGAGGAACACCAGUGGCGAAGGCGGCUUACUGGACUGUAACUGACGUUGAGGCUCGAAAGCGUGGGGAGCAAACAGGAUUAGAUACCCGUGUA